GCACAUGUCUGUUGAUUGUGCUGCCAUCUUCACAAAAGUGCAACGAAAUAACUAGUCAAUAUGUAAUAGAAAUGUGAAAAUGGCGUCUUCUCAAGAUGCCUGGUAUUUAUCUUUGUUAGGUUUGGCGGAAAAUUUCAGAACGUCUAGUCCACCAAACAUAAAGUUGUGUAUACAGUGUUUACAAGCAGUUUUCAAUUUCAAACCGCCACCCAGAGUUGAAGCUAGGACACAUCUGCAAUUGGGAAAUAUUUUGCUGACCCAUACUAAGAACAUCGAUUUGGCGAGAACUCAUUUGGAACAAGCGUGGCUGCUUUCUCAAGUGAUAAAUGCAUUUGAUGACGUGAAAUUCGAAGCUGCUAGUGUCCUAGCAGAGCUGUAUGAGCAGCAGGCACAAUCUAGCUUGUCAAAACCUAUCUUGAGGAAGGCCAUCGAGCUAUCACAGCACAGUGUUUACUGGCAUUGCAGACUUAUCUUCCAGCUAGCACAAAUUCACGCAAGUGAGCGGGAUUAUGAGCUUGCGAGCAGCCUGUUGGGGGUUGGGGUGGAUUAUGCUCAUAUUUCCAAUGCGGCCUACACCAGGGUUCUCUUCCUGCUUAGCAGAGGCAUGCUCCUGUUGAUAGACAAGAAGUUCCAGGAAGUUCACCCUCUGCUGAAUCAGGCCGGCCACCUGGUGGAUGGUUGGCAGGGCAGUCAGUACCAGAAGGAGUACCUAAAGGUGUUCUUCCUUGUGCUACAGGUGUGCCACUACCUGAUGGCAGGGCAAGUAAAGAGCGUCAAGCCGUGCCUGAAGCAGCUUCAGCAGAGCAUCCAGACCAUCAUGCAACCCUCUUGGCCCACAGACGAGAGCUUGUGGUGUCAUAACGCCACUGUUCCAGGUGUGAGUGGCCCCAAUGUGGGGGACAUGUUCAUCUGGAUGCCAAAGGAACAUCUGUACGUGUUGGUGUACCUGGUGACGGUGAUGCACAGCAUGCAGGCUGGCUACAUGGACAAGGCACAGAAAUACACUGACAAGGCACUGAUGCAGAUCGAGAAACUAAAGAUUGUGGACAACAGGCCGAUUUUAUCGGUGUUUCAGCUGAUGUUACUGGAACACAUCAUCAUGUGUCGGCUUGUGAUGGGGAACAAAUCGCUGGCGCUGAGUGAGAUCUCGCAGGCCUGUGGUCUGUGCCAGCAGCAGCCACGGCUCCUGGUCACGCACCAACCCCAGCUGCACACGCUGCUCGGCCUAUACGCCAUGAGCAUGAACUGCAUGGAAGCAGCUGAGGCUCAGUUCACCGCUGCCCUUAGGACAUCACAGGAGCGAGAGCUGUGGACAUUUGCAAAUUUAAACCUGGCCAUCGUGUACCUGCGUGCAAAGCGGGAGCAAGAACUUGCAGCGCUUCUGGAUAGAAUUGACCCCAAUACGCUGCCCUCUCACUCACACAGCCUCAGGGCUGCAGCAUUCUACGUGCAGGGGCUCCAGUCAUUCUUUCAGGCUCGCUACAAUGAGGCCAAGCGGUACUUGCGAGAGACGCUCAAGAUGGCCAAUGCAGAGGAUCUGAAUCGUCUGACAUCGUGCUCACUAGUGCUGUUGGGCCAUAUCUUCUUAUCGCUGGGCAACAGUCGAGAGAGUAUGAACAUGGUGACACCUGCUAUGCAACUGGCAAGCAAGAUUCCUGAUGUGCACGUCCAGCUGUGGGCCUCUGCCAUCCUGAAAGGGCGCGUAACAAACGUUGUAACUGCGCAGACCUGUACCGGAUGUGUGGGGACCCGGUUCGAGAAAAUGAAGCUUUCCAGAUGCACUGCAACUUCUCCCAGAUGUUGCUGAAAGACCACUUUCAGGCGUCGCAGAUGCCAGAGCACAAUCUGACGAACUGGACGGACGGUAGCUUCCCCAUGCUUGUCGGAAAUCCCCCCAGCACAUCUGACACUCUGCUAUGAGCUACAGGUUGCGUUGGCAUAGUGGCUGAGAUGUAGGGGUUGAAAUUCCAUUGCACAUGUCAUUAUAUUUUUUCUGUGGAUGAUGGGGGAUGUCCUCCCACAGGCCAAACAUUUCUCCUGUCUGGAAUGCCUGCAGGCUCUUUCAGAAUCAAGCCUCAGGAGAAACAUCUACUUGCUUUCUUAUCUUACCAAAGAAAGGUAAAGUUCUGCAAACUGAAACAUUAUGUGGGGUGGACACAGGUCACUUUGAGACGUUUCAUUCAGUCGUUAACACGCACGAUACCUCAGAAUGAGGAAAGAUACUGGGCUGCCUUCUACUAAUGGCAGUGUUAAUUAUCUUUAACUGGUAGCAAGUCAGUUAGAAUUGUCACAGUAUUAUGUAUUAAAUGUGCAGAAAUAUAAUUGUCCUGUAUUGACAUGCAGGUCCUAUAGAAUGAUAUGGGUGCAUUAUUCCUUCAAAGACGUGAAAGGUUAGUCACUGAUGUCAAGAUUAAAAUGCCCAACACUUGGCAGCUACAGGACUUCAUUUCAGCACCACUGUGACUCAAUUUGCAGAACCCUCAUCCUUUUGCAUAGAUUGUAUUUAUGUACAAAAGAUCACAUUCUUCAUAAUUAAGAAAUGUUGACAAUUACGAAUUUCA